rnacentral:misc_RNA from 1 species
GCAGCCAAACAGUCCAGUUUUAAACACAACCAUGUAUGUACAGGGGCAUAGUCCUUUCAGUGGGCUUCUUAACAAACUUGAUAAUUUGAACUAAAUGCACUGCUCAAUGGACUGGAUUAGGAAUUGAACAAAAAACUUUGAAACUUAAUGAAGUGCUCAAUGAGCUGGAUGAGGAAUAGAACUCAUUGUGCGGUGUGCUUGGACUGCACAGGCACAAUGCACAGAGGUCAAGUUCAAACAGCCACUCAUGACGAGGGAAUGUCUCCCUGAGCAGGUGUGAAGUGCAGGAAA